rnacentral:rRNA from 1 species
ACGGCUCAGUAACACGUCGAUAAUCUGCCCUUAGAUCUGGAAUACCCUCGGGAAACUGAGGCUAAUACCGGAUAGGAGAUUGAUGCUGGAAUGCACUUUCUCCCAAAGCUACGGCGUCUAAGGAUGAGUCGGCGGCAGAUUAGGUAGUUGGUGAGGUAAUGGCUCACCAAGCCUGUGAUCUGUAGGGGGGAUGAGAGUCCUAGCCCCGAGAAGGACACUGAGAUAAGGGUCCUAGUCCUAAGGGAUGCAGCAGGCGGGAAACCUUUACAAUGCGCGAAAGCGUGAUAAGGGGAUCCUAAGUGCUUACCAUAUGGUAGGCUUUUGCCGAGCGUAAAUAACUCGGAGAAUAAGUGGUGGCAAGACCGGUGCCAGCCGCCGCGGUAACACCGGCGCCACGAGUGGGGGUCACAUUUAUUGGGCCUAAAGCGUUCGUAGCCGAACCUGCAAAUCUCUUGUGAAAUCGCCAUGCUCAACAUGACGAAUGGCAAGAGCGACUACAGGUUUAGAGAUUGGGAGGAGGCGGGGGUAUUCCUUGGGGAGCGGUAAAAUGUUUUAAUCCUUGGAAGACCACCUGUGGCGUAAGCGUCCGCCUAGAACAAAUCUGACGGUGAGGAACGAAAGCUGGGGGAGCGAUCCGGAUUAGAUACCCGAGUAGUCCCAGCUGUAAACACUGCGAACUGUGUGUCGCGAAAUCUUAGAGAUUUCGCGGUGCCGGAGCGAAGGCGUUAAGUUCGCCGCCUGGGAAGUAUAGUCGCAAGAUCGAAACUUAAAGGAAUUGGCGGGGGAGCAC